rnacentral:rRNA from 1 species
AUACGGAGGAUGCGAGCGUUAUCCGGAUUUAUUGGGUUUAAAGGGUGCGUAGGCUGUGCGUUAAGUCAGGGGUGAAAUGCCGUCGCUCAACGACGGAGCUGCCCUUGAUACUGGCGUGCUGGAGUACGGAUGCCGUUGGAGGAAUGAGUGGUGUAGCGGUGAAAUGCUUAGAUAUCACUCAGAACACCGAUUGCGAAGGCAUCUGACGAAUCCGUCACUGACGCUGAGGCACGAAAGCGUGGGGAUAGAACAGGAUUAGAUACCCUGGUAUUCCACGCCGUAAACGAUGAUGACUAACCGUCGGCGAUAGACAGCCGGUGGCCAAGCGAAAGCGAUAAGUCAUCCACCUGGGGAGUACGUCGGCAACGAUGAAGCUCAAAGGAAUUGACGGGG